AUUGUUAUUAGUUACCAAGUAUGCUAAGAGAACAUAUCAAACUUUAAAAUAUAUAAAUAUCAAAAUAAUCAAACUUCGGUUUCCAUGUAAGAUAAUCAUUUCUUCAACCUUUGUCAAAUCAUAUGAAUAUUUUCUGAAGUUUCUGAUAUACGGAUAUUGACAAAUCACUGUUCAAAGAGUUAUAUCAAUUUAUCUUCCUAUGAGUAGACUAAAAUCCCGCCACACUAUAUUUUCCUCAGCACUCAUUAUUACCAGUUUGAAAAAAAGGAAUAAAAUAAAAUACUUUGCCA